rnacentral:misc_RNA from 1 species
AAAUUUUUGAAAUUAAUCAAAUUUAGGCUAUACGCCCAGUCUAUGAAUUCUGCAAGCUCUCGAUUUCAAGUGACCCAAUCCACUGGACGCAAACUCACCUACUAUUUGUAGGCCUCCACUACUCCUCAAAUUGCAUAAUGUCUUUCAUCUAAACUAUGUCAAUUUUGAUCACAGAAAUAAUUUGAUUGAACCGAAUUACAUGUUUUCUUUUCAUAUAUCUACCAGCAUUAACAUACAAUAAAGUUAGUACAAAUUUCUACAGCUUGACAUGCAUAUUUUCAAUUAACAUUACAUCAUCGCGCAACACAUUGCAAAUAAAUUAGCACCAGUAUUGGAUCACUUUCAGUGUCCAGCAUUCCCGGCCAAACUCCCCAAUCUUUCAAUUGACAAUCUCUGCAACAAAUAAUCUGAGCAAGCAAAUUUCAAGUAAUUAGAAAGGGAAGGCGAAGCCAGGGAGAGAAGUAUGCAAAUGGUAAACGCAUAGUUAUUUUUCCCAAUUGCUACAACAAUAAAAUAAUGCAGCCGCACAAAGAUGACUAACAAAAAUGUCAAAUUAUUUAAAAUUUCAUUCUCGCAUGAUCAGCACCAUCACACUAACUCCCUUUCAUGAAUACUUUUACAACUUUUAAGCAUUUGCUAAUGUAGGGUCAUGAAACCCAUUUAAGCACUGUAAAUCAUAGUGGGAUGUUAUUAACUAUAAAAAAAUUGAAAACAUGAAUUCUAAAAUAAUCGGAAUUUUGUGUUACUAUUAGUGGUAUAUUAAUAGCAUAUGGACUAGAGGGGCAUUAAUGAACUAGAGAAACAUUAGCAACAAUAAUAAAUGCAUGGAACUUAUGAUUGAAAGCAAUAAAUCCCUAACAAAGUAGACCAGUAGAACCUGGUAAUAUAAAAGCAAUCAUUUGUUUUGCUUAGCGGCAACAGUCCUCUGUACGGUUGAAACACCAUCCACAAAUUUAGUUCGGAAAAGAACAUUUGCAUUGUUGAACAUGCCUUCUUUCAGCGAAACCACAAUAAACUGGGAAUGUGGAAAGUGAGCUUUGAUCAUUCUCCCUAUGUUCUGCGUAUGGCUUAAAUCAAGAGCAGCAUCAACCUCAUCCAGGAUAUAAAGUGGAGCUGGCUUGAAGAGAAGCAAUGCCAAGAUUAGAGAAAGGGCAAGCAGAGACCGUUGACCUCCACUUAGUUCUGACAAGGAUUGUUUCCAAACACCUCCAAAUGCAACACGAACCUCUACACCAUCCAGGAAAUUGCAACCUUCAGGAGGUUCUAGUUUUGCCAUGGUUCCAGGCAAUAGGGUAGAAAAAAUGGAUCCAAAAUCAUCGUUGACUUUAACCCAAGUAACUUUUAGAGUUUCCUUCUUUUUCUCAUCGAGCUCUUCAAUCACCUUCUUGAUUUUAGACUUGUCAUUCUCAAUGAUGUUUUUCUUGGACAUUAAAUCAUGGUACUCAUCUUCAGCUUUCUCAAACAUUGCCAUAACCUUCUUGUUCACCCUUUUCUCAAGGCUUUAUAAGAGUGGGGAAAAAAAAUCAGCGCUCUAGUGUUAUGCCAGCAAAAAAUAAAAUUUAACAAUAGAAUACCCUGAUUGUUCAGCUUGCAACUUCUCAAGUUCUUUCCUUGCUUUACAGGCAUCACGGGACAUAAAAUCAUAAUCUGUCCCACUUCUUCCAAAUAGUUGUUUCUCAGAAGCAAUCCAGGCAUGCUUCUCAAUUAAUUUGUCCACCUUCAUAGAACAAUCUUUUUGUUCCACUUCCAUUCUUUUCACCUCAUUUUCUAGCUUCUUCCUCUCAAGCUUUCUCUCACCAACUUUAUGUUCGAGUUUUUGCUGCUCCUUCAGAAUGCUACUAAUCUGAGAAUCACAUUCCUUCAUCUUUUUACGAAUCAAAUCAAGCUCAGAUUGAGCUUGAUCAUGAUUUUUACGAAUGGAAACAACCUUCAUUUUUUGUUCUUCCACUUCCAAAUUGAGAUGAUUAAUUUGCAUUCUCAAAGAAUUUAAUUGACUCUCCAAAGAUGUCUGUUCUUUAAUGACAGCUUCUUGUUCCAUAAUAAGUCUUUCUCUUUCGUUUCCAUGACCCUUGAGAUCCUUUGAAGCUAACUGCACUUCAGAUUUUACAGCCUUAAUUUUUUUCUCUAAGUCUUUCAGCCUGCCUUCUCGAUUAUUAUCAUGCUCUUUGAUCGAUUUCUCAAGCAUCAAAACCAUACUAACACAUUCAUUGUACAAAACUUGCUUUUCUUUGACUGUGGAAUUUGCUUCCGUAAGCUCCUGCUCUAUCUUCUUCACUAACUCACCAAGCUUAUGAUGCUCAUUUUGCUCAGCCCUGCCCUGAAAUAAUGACAGGUCAUACUGUUUAAGCUCUAGCUGUUUUUUAAGAUCCACAAACUUUUUAUGGACAGGCAAGAGGUCUGUAAUCUUUGUUUCAAUUUCAGAUAAUUUUCUUUGAUGUAGUAAAAGAUUUGAUUCAGCCUCUGCCAAUUCAUGAAGUUGCCUUAACAGAUUGCCACCACCCUUUCGGCUGCCACCAGUUAAAAGACCACUUGGUUGAAAUAUAUCACCUUCAAGAGUGACACUGGGAGUGCAAAUCUCUCGAUUAAAAGCAAUCUCCUUUGCUGCAUCAGUGGUUUUGCAUACAAAGGUCGAACCAAAAACAUAUUCCAUUGCAUUUCGUAAAUCCUCAUCAUAACCAACUAAAGAAAGUGCCACUUCUGCAUUCCCCUUGCCAACCAAUCUAACAGCUGCCUGCUGAAGUCGUUGGGGUACAGUAUGGGAUUGAAUUUUGUUCAAAGGAAUAAUUGUUACUCUUCUCCGAAGAUCACCAUUUUGAAGUAGCUGCUUUCCUGUAUUUUCGGUGUCUACAACAACAUUAAAUAACUUGCCACCAGCAGUUACCUCUAAGGCAGUCAUAGUAGAGCUAUCCUUUACUUUGAUAAGCUUUGCUACCACACCUUUUACUUUUGAUCUAUCAAAGUUUUUCACAGGAUCACGGUAUGUGAACUGAACAUUUGAUAAUUGUGCUAUAAGAUCCCGUAUUUUGUCUUUCAACUUCUGCACCAAAUCUAUUUCAGAUGCACGAUCCUUUUGCAAAACUUCCAUCUCGCCCUCUAUGUAUGGAAGAGAUUCCAAUGCCAAUUUAACAUUUUCCACAUCUUUUUUUCUAGCAUUAAGCUCAUUCUCUGCAGCAACUUCUUCCUCUCGCUUUGACAUCAACUGAUGCCUUUUCUCUUUUAGCUCUUUUUCGCAAUGGCUGAUUUUUGUUUUCAACUGUUUCAAUUCUGUUUCUGUAUUCCCAACAGCCACCUUUGCUUCAGCUAGUUGAUCUUCAAGGCAUUUCUCCUCAUUUCCACUGCUCUUCCCAGCUAGGACACCUUGGUAAUCCUUCUCAUGUCCUUCCAAACUCUUAGAGAGUUCCUCAACUCUCUUUUUGAGAUCAGCUGCUCCUUCUUCAGACUUUCUCACAGCAGUGGCCCUCUCUUUCACAGAUUGCUUUAAGUCUUCAAUACUACAGACAAUCUUCUCAGCAUUCUCAUUUUCACUCCUUAAAGUGUCCUCCUUAUUGUUCAAUACAGAUACUUCUCGCACAAGAUCUUGAGAGAGAGCAUGUACUUUCUCUGACAAAGCUUUUACUUCCCCGCCCAUACUAGCUUCUUUGUCAGCAGUCAAUUGAGAUAUUUUUGUCUCCAUUUCCUUUAUUUCCACCUGUGUCCUUUCUUUGUCAUCGUCAAUCUCAAAAAUCUUGGCUUUUAUUUGUUCCACCUCACCAACUGCAAAGUCCCUAAUCUUCUCUGCUUGAACAUAUUCAUAAGCAAUGCAAAAUCUUUUCAGUCGAUCUAAUUCAGCAUUUCCAUUGGCCCACUGCAUAUAUUGCAUCCUUUCCUUCCUCAACUUCUCCAAAGCAGGAAGUAUUUCCUGAUCAAGAAGCUUAUUAAUCUCAUCAACCUUACUCUGCUUCUUCUCAAGUGUUUUCAGUGCAGCAUCUUUCUUUGUCUCAUACAUUCUAGUCCCAGCAGCCUCUUCCAGCAUGGAUAAAAUCUCAGGAGGCUUCAUAUUUAGGACCUUUGUGAUGCGUCCUUGCAUAAUGAGAAAAUGUGGAUUGUUAACAUUCAGCUGCACUGAAUGGAAAAGGUUUUGAACUUGACUAGGCUGGGCAAGCUUUCCAUUAAUCAGAUACUUGUUCCUUCCACCAACCACAAUCUGUCUUGUUACUGUGAUCUCUGAAUGAUCCUCAUAUCCUAGAGGACUCCUGCUCCUAUCAGAGUUAUCAAACACAAUAGACACUGUAGCCUUAGUGAUGCCAGCCUGCCCUUGCUUGUAAACCAGCUCCUGGAGGUUCGCUGCACGAACCUGCUGCAAAUUUGUUAUACCCAACACAAAGCAGAUCGAAUCAAGGAUAUUCGACUUGCCUGACCCAUUCAAUCCCGUUAUUGCAUUAAAGAAAGGAUCGAAACCCUGGACCACUGUCCGCGUCGCAUAUGAUUUGAACCCCUCUAAACAUAUCUCCUUGACAUACAUUCUUCCCCUAAAUUCAAAGAUCUGUGAAGGAUAAUCGCAAAAUCAACAGCGAAAGUUUCCAACUACAUUACCGUAGAAGUCCCCGAGGCCAAGGAUACCUAACCAAUCGAGCUUGCUUGAAAAUUCAAACUGCGAAAUUGAAAAUCUUUUAGAGAGGGGGAAAGAAACUAGGAUGUGCACAGUGUAGAGAGUGAUACAACAAGAGAUGUUUUAUAAAUUGAGAGUUUCUGAGAGAAGAAACCCAAAAAGUCAGUGAGUUGAGUGAGGAAUCGGAGAAGGGACCUGGGGAUUUCUAGACGCGGAGGGGGUUU